rnacentral:rRNA from 1 species
GAUGAACGCUGGCGGCGUGCCUAAUACAUGCAAGUCGAACGAAAUUAUUUUAAUAGAAGAUUACUUGUAAUUGAAAGUUAAAUUAAUUUAGUGGCGAACGGGUGAGUAAUACAUAAGUAAUCUGCCCUUUAAGGACCGGGAUAACUGUUGGAAACGAUGGCUAAUACCGGAUAAGUAAUUGGAAGGCAUCUUCUAAUUAUUAAAGUUUAAAUACACACAAGGAUGAGCUUAUGGUGCAUUAGCUAGUUGGUGGGGUAACGGCCUACCAAGGCUGUGAUGCAUAGCCGACCUGAGAGGGUGAUCGGCCA